rnacentral:rRNA from 1 species
ACCAGACUCCUACGGGAGGCAGCAGUGGGGGAUAUUGCACAAUGGGGGGAACCCUGAUGCAGCGACGCCGCGUGGGUGAAGAAGCGCCUCGGCGCGUAAAGCCCUGUCAGCAGGGAAGAAAAUGACGGUACCUGAAGAAGAAGCCCCGGCUAACUACGUGCCAGCAGCCGCGGUAAUACGUAGGGGGCAAGCGUUAUCCGGAUUUACUGGGUGUAAAGGGGGCGCAGACGGCGAUGCAGGCCAGGAGUGAAAGCCCGGGGCCCAACCCCGGGACUGCUCUUGGAACUGCGUGGCUGGAGUGCAGGAGGGGCAGGCGGAAUUCCUGGUGUAGCGGUGAAAUGCGUAGAUAUCAGGAGGAACACCGGUGGCGAAGGCGGCCUGCUGGACUGCAACUGACGUUGAGGCCCGAAAGCGUGGGGAGCAAACAGGAUUAGAUACCCGGGUACC